UCGAGAAUCAUUCACAAUGGGCGAAAGCCUGAUGGUGUGACGCCGCGUGGAGGAUGACGGUCUUCGGAUUGUAAACUCCUGUCAUGUGAGAGUAAGAACCAGGGAGUAACUGCCUGUGGUUUUGAGAGUAUCACAAGAGGAAGAGGCGGCUAACUCUGUGCCAGCAGCCGCGGUAAUACAGAGGCCUCAAGCGUUGUUCGGAAUCACUGGGCGUAAAGGGUGCGUAGGCGGCGCGGAAAGUCAGGGGUGAAAUCCCGGAGCUCAACUCCGGAACUGCCUUUGAUACUCCCGCGCUUGAGAACUGGAGGGGACAUCGGAAUUCACGGUGGAGCAGUGAAAUGCGUGGAUAUCGUGAGGAACACUAGUGGCGAAGGCGGAUGUCUGGACAGUAUCUGACGCUGAGGCACGAAGGCCAGGGGAGCGAACG
rnacentral:rRNA from 1 species